AAGGGGAAAACAAGUUUGAAAACUGCUACUGCUAUCACCUUGCGCCUGAGCAGAGGCCCAGAGAUAUGAAAGACACAUGACUUGCUAGUGGUAAGACAAAUUUAGAAUCCACAAUCUCUAGUACCUUGGUUUUUCAUUGUUCUUCACCAGCCAGCUGCAACAUACUUUUCACAAUAAUGUUCUUGAGUUUUGCCUUGGAACCAUUAGGAAACAGACAGGCCUAUAUAUUCCCAGGGACUAGUGUUGAUGAUGAAGUGCUCUUUGUGGUCUGAGAUGCUCCUGCUGACCUGUGCACUUGGAGUGAUUUUUCUGGUGGUGGAGACAGAUGGUCCUUGAGUCACCGUCAUGAUUGCCAUCCUUUAGGAGGUGAUUGAGAAAGGGUACCUCCCAGAUGCAAAUGUUUUUCACUCCACCAACAUUUAUUGAGCAUCUAGUGUGUGUUGAUCUCUGUGAUGGGACCUGUGAAGAUACAGCUGUGAAGAAGGGCAAGAAUCCCUGUGGACCUAUUUUCUAGCAGGAUGACAAGAAGCCAGGCACUGUCUCAAACUAGGGCAUGACUCUUCCACAGACUCUAAAGGCAGCUGGUCAGUGAUUCUUUUAAGUAGCAUAAUCCAUAUGACUUGAUUCUGACAUCUAAGGCAGGUAAGGUUUUUCAUAUUUUGCCUGUCAUGCUGUUUGUUCUUUGUGUGUGUGGUUUUUUUUUAAAUAAAAAAAUUGUUUACUUUCCAGUGUCAUUUUAACUUGGUACUGGUAAGCAUCUGGCCUGGGUAUUUUCCAUUAGCAUCAAAAUUCAGAAGGCUACAGAAAGAAAUACCUAUAACCUAGCAGUGAGAGAGCCACUUCAUUACAUGGCCAGGCAAUAUGUCUUGCAUUUCUCUAGUGUAAAUAAAAUGAUGAUUCAAAGAAUGGUCCCCAUUAAUGAGUAUCUGAUUUAGAAUAAAAUAAAAUCCAUGCUGGGAAGUUGAUGAGCUUGAUUUUGCUGAAUUGCUUUGAGCAUGCAGCUUAUAUUUAUUGGUUCUUUCCUUUUGACAAUUGUCACCAGUUGUCUGCUGUUCUUUCUGCUGAGCAGAAAAGGAGAGGGCUUGAAGGUUGAUUUUAGUUCCCUGAAACUGGAGGUGACAUGUGAAAGCUCAAAGCUAUUGAAAAGCUGCAAAGCCUUCCACACACAGCUGCAGUAGGAGGGCAUAGGAAGUGGGUCAACACUUUUGGAGGACUG
rnacentral:lncRNA from 13 species